rnacentral:tRNA from 1 species
GGGAGAUUUCCCGAGUGGCCAAAGGGGACAGACUGUAAAUCUGCUGGCUUCGCCUUCGGUGGUUCGAAUCCACCAUCUCCCACCA